rnacentral:lncRNA from 1 species
GGAACGGAUUUCUCCUCACAGCCCUCAGAAGAAACCAACCCUGUCACCAUUUUGAUCUUGGACUUUAGCCUCUGGAACUGUGAGACAAUACAUUUCUGUUUGUUUCAGCCACCUAGUUCAUAGUACUUUGAAGUGACCUUUACACCACUCUCACUUAGAGAUGAGGUCUGUGUCCCCUCCUCUUGAAAUUGAGUGGCUUUUGUGACUGUGUACACAGGUAGAGUAAACUGCAGAGCUGCCUGUCUGUGACUUCCAAGGCUAGGUCAUAAAAGGAGAUAAAGCUUCUUCCUGGCUGGUUGGGCUGCUUGCUCUUGAAGCCUUCAGUCUCUAUGCACGCAGCAUGCCUUCCCAGCCUCCUGUGGUUGUAGAGUGUAUAGAAGGCAGUUGGAUCACUAUGGACAGCGGGUAAGAGCUGAGGAAGCAGCCUCCGCCAGGUGGUAACAUGGAGGACCCUGAAGCAGGCCAAUUAAAUCAAGCAUAUUCCUCAGUAUCAUGGAGAGACUGGAGGUUAGAGACACCAAAACCAUCCCUGGCUUAAUGACUUUGGGAUCCCUGGGCCCCUCCAUGCAGCAGAACGGCAAUUAACCAAGACCAUUGGCCAUUCUCUGACCAUCUCAAGCCAGAGGUGACUUGAUCUGUCACCCAGCUGUGGCCCAUGAGCAUUAUCUAAGGAGGAACAUUUUUGCUUACGUUUCCAGUGCUCUACAUAAGCCCUAGGCCCUGGGAGGCACUGAAAUGCUCAAUGGGAGCUCCAUGUGUGCAGGCUUAUGGACUGAAAUACUACUUUCAUGGCUCUGGCUAUGAACAUCAGCAUAUAGAGAAUGGAUCACUACCAAAGAAGGCACCCGAAUGUGUCUGUCUCAUCCUGGGGAAACUCAUUCAUCUGUAUAUGUACUCAGCAAGUGUUUCCUGGCACCUGCUCUGGGUCACAGUGCUGGGCACUGGAAGCUGAGAGAUGUGGAAGAAGGCUGGACAUUCAAGAUGAGAAGCCCGAGGCUGGUAAACUAGAGUCCAAGGGCAGAAAGCUGGGACAAUGGCUGGAGGAAGAAAUGAGAGGAUCUCUAUACCCAGGCCUUGGCUUCUAUGUCCCUUCUCGAAGUGGUUGAAGUGCAGAUUUCUGAUUCUGUACCCAGCCUCCAGGGACACAGUACACAGUAUGCUGGGAAUGGCGGUGGGUGUUUGAGGUACAUUACUUCCAGACAAAACAUGGCUGCAGAGGGAUACCAAAAGCAUCUUCUGGUGGCUGAAGCCCUGUCUGCACAAGUGUCUGUGUUCUUCAAUGGUUCAGGCAAGCUCAGACAGACCCUCUGCUUCUCUUAACCUGAGACACUAGUUUCCCCAAGAACUUUGAGCUGAAGGUUCCUUGCUGUGUCCCCUACCUGGCUGUGAGGACUUUGAGUAUAAUUAUCCUAUCUUAUUUGUUGCUGUGCUCCCAGUGUCUUGGAUGGAGCCUGACAUCUAGUCAGUGUUAGUAAAUGUUGAUGUGUAUUGAAUUUUGCAAGGAUCUGCAGCCCUGAGAAGAGGGGAUACUUCUUGGAAACCUCUGUGGGCUAAAUUGAGGGUUAAGGACUGGGACUGGAAGGCAGAGAUUCCAGAGUGAUAACCACAGUAGUUACUAUUUCAUGAGAGCCUCCAUGUGCCAGCCUCUAAGCUAGGCCCAUACCAUGCAUUACCUCUUGUCCCCACUUUACAGAAACUAAGGCUUAGACAAGUUAAGCAACUUGCUAAAGAUCAAACAACUCAAUAUGUGUUGGAGUCAAAUGAACGCAUUUCUUUUCCAUUUCCCUCAUUUACUCCACUAAUGACAGUACUUAAAUUGUAGACUAGGAAUUAAAAUAGCAGAAGCCUGACUUGAGAGGGCAGAGCCCCUGCGUUUGAGUGCCUGAAAGUCAGUCAUGGGUAGAAAGAACAGUCUUGUAGCAGAGCUCUGGGCAAGGGAGGAGCCGUGAGCAGGUGGACAUGAACUCACUGUGACAACUCUCCAACAGUGAAAGCAGGUUCCCAUGGAAUCCAGGGAAAUUACUGAAUAACUUUCAACACAAAAAUGUGUGCUAGUGAGCUGUAGAGCCUUUAUAUCCCCCCAAAACAUAUUAUGGGGGUGGGGGGGGGGCGCGGAAUUCUGAAUUUUUGUUGUUGUUGUUGUUGUUGAGACAGAGUUUUGCUGUUGUUGCCCAGGCUGGAGUGCAAUGGCACAAUCUUGGCUCUCCACAACCUCCGCCUCCUGGAUUCAAGCGAUUCUCCUGCCCCAGCCUCCAGAGUAGGGGCUGGGAUUGUAGACAUGCGCCACCACGCCUGGCUAAUUUUGUAUUUUUAGUAGAGAUAGGGUUUCUGCAUGUUGAUCAGGCUGGUCUCGAACUCCUGACCUCAGGUGAUCCACCCGCCUUGGCCUCCCAAAGUGCUGGGAUUACAGGUGUGUGCCACGGCGCCCGGCCUAAGUAAAUAGUUUGGAAAGCUGCAUCCAAUAGUCUCUUUUGAAGAUUCACAAUGCACCCUAGCUUGUUAACUAUUCCAAGAAGUCCCCGGAAAAGAAUGCUUGUUUGACUUUCUUGAAUCCAGUGUUGCCCAUGUUUAUUUGACUAGUGAGCAGGUUUUUUUGUUUGUUUGUUUGUUUUUUAAGUGACACUUUUUAACACUCUGAGGCAGUAAUAUUGUACUGAACACAUGGGGAAUCUUCUGUGGAAGUUUGGCCUGGAAUACAUCCUCUGUGUUCCUUCUCGCCCCGUGGCUGAGUGAGUGUGCUGUAAAAGCUUAGUGACAGAAAAGCCCCACUUAGCCUAUUUGUGAUGAUUUCCUAAACCGGGCAAAUAACUCAUCUGAAUGGCUGAGGUGAUAAACUCACAGGAGGAGAAGAUGCUGGAGGAAGUGUCAUGUGUCCUGCAUGUAGGUACCACUUCACCUCCCAGCAAGGCGAUGCUGAUAGCAACGUUUUCCUUGGGUGUUGAAUUUUCCAUCCUGCAAUUACGUCUUAAGCCAUAGAUAAAAUUCACAUCCACGUUUCACUCAAGAUAAACCUAACAUCAUAAUAAUACAGAAGAUUAAUUCAUUGGGGAAAAAUAGAAGAAAAUUGGUCUUGGCUUAAAGAGAAGUCAACAUUUAGAAUGUGUAGAAGGGGAUUUCUUCUGGAUCACACUCUGUCCUCAACAGUGGCAUGUGAAAAUGUAUGUGGUUCGCUUUAGUGCAUGCAUGUUUGUGCCUGUCCCACUGACACAUCCACAGUGUGACCCAUAGAGGUCCACUUCUAAGACCCCUAACUCUGAGUCCAACCCACCCUUUUGGGCUCACUGCAGUCAUUUCUCUCUGAAGUCUUCCUUGACAACCUAGGCAUCAUCAGUUUUUCUCUUCUCUGAUCAUCUUAGCAAGUGUAUCCAUAAGCUAUAAUCACAAUCAUGCUGCAUAACAAAACCAAAAACUCAAUGGCCAAUAACAAUGAACAUUUAUUUUUUGUUUUCAUGUCUAGAGGCCAGGUGGGGGGUGGCUGAUCUAAGCUGGGUUUUGCUCUAGGUUAGAUUUAGUCUAGGUUGGCCUCACAUGUCUCUCAUUCUUCAGGUGUCAGGAGGCCACCAUGGGCCUGAUCUUCAGGACAGAUGCCUCUUAAGACUUGGGCUUUGACUCAUACACUGUUACUGCCACCCAUGUCCUGUUGGCCAAAGUCAAUUUCAUUACCAAGCCCAAGAUCUGUGGAGUGGAGAAAUGCAUUUUGAAGGGGAGGGAGUCAAUCUGUAAUGAGCACCAUGAUGUACCAUAGAGCAUUUGUAGUCAUGAGCCUGAUUUAGACACUUGGUGGGGUAUCUCUGUGCUCUUAGGAAUUGUGUCUCUGUGUCUGUCAGAGGUGAUAACAUUGGAGCUGAGCCUUAAAAAAUAAAAGUUUCCUCAAACACCUCUGUGACUUCUGUGAUGCCUUCUGUUCACCACCCACAGUAGCACUGAAGGAAGAAAAGUAGUAACAUGUGAAGUGCAUAGGCAGCCCAGGGAGUCAUGCAUCCUAGUUCUGCAAGGAGGGUGCCCCUAGCCAGCCCUUGAUUGCCUCCCAGUUUUGGAGUUUGUAAGAGUCACAAAUAAUCACACUUCCCUCUCCUCAAAGUUCUGAACCAACUAAAAAUUAUACAUGGGAAUUUGAUGGGGAUGAAAAUAUGGACUUUAUAAGUAAAAAUGAAUUUGAGAACAGCUUGGACCUGAAGCUGAAGGGGUUUCCUUGAUACUUUUCAUCUGGAUCCUGUAGUCCACCUGAGGGUAGUUGUGGGUCUUCAUGGUGGACUUUUAACCAGAUGCAUGAAAAAUUGUGGCCAGGAGAGAGGCCACACCUGAGAGGGAUGUUUACACAUGAGAAACAUAGACCAGUGGGUGUCAGCCUCUUGCCACCUCAACAAUUAUGCCAAUUUCUCCUACACACAAAUGAAGGAGAGAAGAGCUAAGUGUGAAAGGAAAGAUGGAACUCUGUCCUCCCCAUCUAAUCCGGGAUGGAAGCUGUCUGUUGCAGGGACCAGCAUGAGGUGGGGAGGAAGGAUGACCCCGGUGAUCUAGAAAAUGGGACUGAUGCUAUUUAGACGGCUGCCAUCACUGAGUCAGCGGGUGUGGGCUUCUUUAUGCACUUGCUAGAAAUGGGCCAUCAGGCCACUCCUAGUGUGCCCUGGAGCAACUUGUUCUUGUCUGCAAGUCCAGAUGCAGAACACCUAACUCCACUCCACUUCAUCCCCAAAUCCCAACCCGUCUUCACUCAUUUCCGACUGAACCAAGCCACCUGAGUGUCGUGAGUUCACCUGUGUGUUCUUGCCAUCUCCUGGGAUGGAGUCCCCACAGGUCAGAACACUUGAACUCAUUGUGUAGAACCAGAUUCUCUCCCACACUUUUCUCUCUCCUCUCAGAGGCCAAUUUGUUCUGCAGUCAAUUCUGCAGAAGUUAGAAAUAAAGCAUGGUGACCAAUCAGAGAUGAGAGAGGGUGUGGUUGGGCUGAGAGUCACUUUUCAGAGCUUAUGAAAAGCUGCAAACCCGGUGGAUGGCUUACACUCUUUCCUCAAGGGCAACACACUGAGUGAGAGGGUGCUGGAGGGGGAUGCUGGGGAAAGCGAGCUUGUAUUCAAGGAGGCCUGUGGUGUCAUUAUUUACAGUGUCACACCUGAUCCUCCCAACGACCCCAUCUCUAGGCUCUGGAAGUUAGUGGUUAAGAGCACAUCUCUCAGGCUUGUUCACAUACAGUUGUGUGACCUUGGGCAAGUCUCUGUGCCUCAGUUUACUCAUCUGUAGAAUGUUGGUAGAGGAGGAUAUUAAGAGUAACUACCACAUAGUGGUGCUGGGAGGAUAAAAUGAUUUAAUAGAUGUGAUGGGCAGCUGUGGGGAUGGCUCCCAGUGAUCCCUGUCUCCAGGUAUCCAUGCCCUUGCUUGUAAGGAAGAGAAUAUGGCAAAGUUGAUAGGCUGUCUCUUCCAAGAUCAGGUUACAAGAGACUGUGAACUCCCUCUUGCUUACUUUCUCUUACUCUCUUUCUUACUCCAGUGGAAACCAACAGCGUGUUACGAGCUGCCCAGUGGAGAAACCCACACUACAAGAAACUGUGGAUGGCCUCCUCUGGUCAAUAGCCAGCUAGGAAUAAGGCCUUCAUCCAAUAGCCCAUGAGGAACUGAAUCCUGCCAAAAACCACACACGUGAGCUUAGAAGCAGAUCUUUCCCCAGUAGAGCCUUGAAAUGACUGCUGCCCCCACCUGACACCUUAACUGUGGUCUGUGUGAGACUCUGAAACAGGGGGCCCAGCUAAGCCAAGCCCAUAUUCCUGACCCACAGACGCUUUGAGAUAAUAUUGAAUAAAUUCUUGUGGUGUUAAGCCACUGAGUUUUAGGGUAAUUUGUUAGACAGCGAUAGAUAACGAAGACAAUACAUUAACAAUUCUUAAGAUACCCAGUGGAUAGUAAACCUUCAAUAGAUAUUGACUGUCUUUAUUAUUAAUAUCUCAGUUUCACAGAUGAGACAAAUGAGGCUCAGAGUGACUUCCCAGAGUUCGACAGUUAAUAUGCAGUAGAGUAGGGGCUCUGCCUUUGUUCUAUCUGACUUCAAAGUCAGUGCUCUCAAAGCAUCACUAUUUGGAAGACUCAGCUCCUUGAGGUGCCUAAGCAGGAUUUGUAGAAAAACAGAGGGCAGAUUUCCAUGGGCUGCCUUAGAUAGGUGAAUGACCCCUUAAGGCUGUAGAGGGCCAGGCCUAGGGCUGGGGAGAGCCAUGGCCAGCUCUUCAGGGAGUCUACAUGGGUAGGAGGACUAGCUCCUGCACCCAAACUUCACUAGGGGCUAGGUCUUCCAGCACAUGGGAGAACCAACGCAUGGCUGAGUCUGCUCCUAGAGUUUGUAAGAUGCUGUGUACUGAGAAAUGGAGCUCUGGUCUCUCCUCGCCCUCUGCUAUAGUUUCAAUGUGUUCCCCAAAAAGCAUGUGUUGGAAACUUAAUCCCCAAUGCAACAGUGUUGGGAAGUAGGGCCUAAUGGGAGGUGUUUAGGGCAUGAGGUCUCUGUCCUCAUGAAUGGAUUAAUGCCGAUUAUAAAAGGUCUUGAGCAUGUGAGUUCAUUCUCUUGCUCUCUCACAAUGCUGUCUUGCCCUUCCACCGUGAGCCAUGGGAUGAUGUAGGAAUCAUCCCAUGAUUGGUGGCACCUUCAUAUUAGACUAUGUUGGACUUCGCAGCCUCCAGAACUGUGAUAAACAAAUACCUUAUAAGUUACGACACCUCUGAUAUUGUGUUAUAGCAACACAAAACAGACUGAGACUCUUUCUCUCAUUCCCUCUGGGAGCUCAUGAACUAGGAGCCUGAGAUAAGCCCCAUUCAGAGGAGUCUCAUCUGAGCAAAGGCCGUUUUCGUUGCUAUCCUAUCAUGCUAUAGACAGCAAUGAUGAAUCAACUUAGCUGAUCGGAGGGCAGUCAGCACCAUCAGAAACAACAUGUCCUCUUAGCACAGUAACUGCUGGGAACAUCUACAAGAUUCCUCAGGGUGUAUGGGCAACAGACACAGGGAGCGUGCAGAGAGGCAGGUGGCACAGCCCCUGAUAUCUGCGGUGGUGAGACGCACAAUGGGAGCAGAUUCAAGCUUCACCACACAGACACUCAAAGAAUCAACGGAUACACGGAGACACCCAGGCACCUGCAUUAAUACCCAUAUACUCCCAGACACAUGGCCACACUCAUAGACACACCUACAGAAUGACACACUCAGACAUUCAGUGUGAAAGACACAAAUGCUCAGAUAAAUGCCCAGGUGGUAGGGAGGAACAUUAAAAUCCCACAACUCAUGUUUCCAGGGAGGGGAAGUCUUUUCCAUUGCACCAUGCAGGAGGGAAAAGUAUUGAAGGAACACUUCUUGCCCUUGUCCAUCCCCUCACCCAUUUCUCCCCAGAGGAGAGUUGGUGAGUUUGGGGGAGGAACAGAGCAUGCUCAGUCUAGUCUCCCCUAGGGCUUCUCUGUCUUUUACCCUGCCUGCCUGCAGAGGGGAAACAACAUUCUCAUCAGUCCUCUGGUACUGGGUGGCCUCUCAGGGUCGGCUUGGCCCCUCUGGGGAGUUGCCUGGUGUGACCAGUGCCGAUGGACACGUCUAUCUAAUUCAUUGGGGAAGAAUUUGCAGACCCUUUGGCUACAUAUCCAAAGCCACAUUCUUUACUUGACUGUACCCAGUAAUAGAGCUGACAUUCUGAUCUUCACCUCUAUCUCUGAGGCCUUAUUUCUCAGUUGGUGUCAAACUUGCGAUUCCCCGGUUCCAACACCAAAUAUUCCCACUUAGAGGAAAAACAGAAACAUGGACAAAUGUUCAAAGACACAGCAGAGAAACAUAGAUGAGAUGGUACAUUUGCUCUCCUGAGUGGAGGGAGGAUGGUUAGAAGAGCAGUUCAUGAGUCUGGCUGGGUGUUAGAAUCACCUGGGAAGAAUUACAAAUAGGUACUCAUGUCUGGGUCCUACUCCAGACAAACUGAUUCAGAAUCUACUGGGUCAGGGCCUGGGCAGUGGUCAAUUUUAAAGCUCCCCAGGUGAUUCUAACAGGCAGCUUCCCCACUCCCCAGCACUCCAUGAGGAGCAAAAGAGUGUUGGUGACUGGGGGCCUAACCCAUCGGUCACAGACCUCCCUCAGACGUCACUUGCUUCCAGCUAUAGCUCCAAAUUUCUCUCCUAUGGACAUUCUGGGGAUUCUGGUAGCAGCUGAGGGCUGUGCACUAAGCAGGCAAUUGCCUUUGGCUGCUGCUCUUCUGACUCUUCUAACUCUUCUGGUGGACCAUGGGGGCUGUCUCACCACUCUUCAAGCAGAAGUCCCUCACUCCUGCCUUGGAUCCCCAACACGUACGGAUGCUUAGGUCGACAUGGUAUUUUUCCUCUUGCUUUCAGUCUAGCUUCCUGUUGCAUCUCUGCUUGGUUGGCCCCUGGCAGAGCAGGUGCACAGGACACCGAGUGGAGAACUGGCCCCAGUGACAGUGGCUCGGCACAUGCUCUUCAUCCCAUAGCCAAAGGCACUUUCUUUGUGAUGCAUGGAGGCCAAACUCUUCUGCCAGCAACAGAGAAGCAAGGCCAGGCUGAUGGCUGCAAAAUGAGAGCGUGGUGUAAAGAUGGGAGCAGAGGUGGCGUGUACCCAUCCAGUGGCCUUGAUGCUUCUGUGAAUAUGGAG